UUUCUUCAAUUCACCUCCACCACAGGGAUGCCAAAGGGCCCAGGAUUUCUUCAAUUCACCUCCACCACAGGGUUGCCAAAGGGCCCAGAAUUUAUUCGAUUCACCUCCACCACAGGGUUGCCAAAGGGCCCAGAAUGUCUUCCAUUCACCUCCACCACAGGGUUUCCAAAGAGGCCAAAAUGGAGUUAACCCAUAUUCAAUGAAAGUAGGUGCUCCAAUUAGCAAAUAUUCAGGUUAUCCAGGUACAACUACCAAAGCUGGGCCUGGAAUAUCAGACACUGCCCUGGCUCACAUGCUCAGACCUCUCUCACCGAUGUGUGUGCCGGAAGAUGAUGGUGAAUGGGACUCUGGUUGGGAUCACAUGUCCACCCCUGGGACUUCUACAUGUGUUGACUCUUCCCUGG